AUGCUUUGGCAGCACAUACACUAAAAUUCAAAUGAUUCAGAGAUAGCAGGAUCUCCUGCACAGGGUGACACAUAAAUUCAAGACACUUUUGUAGUUUUU
ensembl:snRNA U6 U6 spliceosomal RNA